rnacentral:SRP_RNA from 1 species
CGAGGUUGGCACCACAGAGCAGAAAGAAGCGCUGGUUCUCAAGCUGAAGGACGACAUCCUGAGGCUCUGCAAGG